rnacentral:rRNA from 1 species
CCUACGGGAGGCAGCAGUAGGGAAUAUUGCUCAAUGGGGGAAACCCUGAAGCAGCAACGCCGCGUGGAGGAUGAAGGUUUUCGGAUUGUAAACUCCUUUUGUUAGAGAAGAUAAUGACGGUAUCUAACGAAUAAGCACCGGCUAACUCCGUGCCAGCCGCCGCGGUAAUACGGAGGGUGCAAGCGUUACUCGGAAUCACUGGGCGUAAAGGGCGCGUAGGCGGGAUAGCAAGUCAGAUGUGAAAUCCUAUGGCUUAACCAUAGAACUGCAUUUGAAACUGUUAUUCUAGAGUAUGGGAGAGGUAGGUGGAAUUCUUGGUGUAGGGGUAAAAUCCGUAGAGAUCAAGAGGAAUACUCAUUGCGAAGGCGACCUGCUAGAACAUAACUGACGCUGAUGCGCGAAAGCGUGGGGAGCAAACAGGAUUAGAUACCCCGGUAGUC